UGAAGUUUUAUUUUUAUUUUUCCUAGAAGCAGUCUAUGUGCUUUCACAACUAGUGAAGCCUGGAGCGUGCCUCUCCGUGUGUGUCCCACUUGUGUAUGCUCUUUUCAAGCAAGGAUCUGCUUUCCCCCAAAGACAUUGUGCUGUGAAAAUCAUAUUAUAAUGAAUCUGAGUUCAUUCAUGAUGCUGACAAUGAUAAUUUAUCUGAGGUUACCUAAAAAUUUCAUUUAUUUUAGUAAUGAAGGCUAUGGAUUUGAAGACUAUGUCAUCUGCAGUGACAUGUCAAUAAAAAUGGAAAUCCAAAAAUUUAUUUCAGUAGAGAGAAAGAAGCAAGCAAGUAAGAAAGCACACUGUCUUUCAGGAAUAUUUGGAAUAGAGACCACCAGGAAACACAUUUAAAAAUCAUCUGUGGCACACAGAAGGAGAAGAGAGAAAGUUGUUGGUACAUUUCAGCAAGCCUCGUUAAAAACAUCUCUAGGCACUACAAAGUGCAUGUUAUCAAUAUGCAUAUGCGAUGUCUCUGAGGCAGAGUUGCCUUUAAGAAUACUAUGAGAUCUGGGCAUUGAACUUCAAGAAGGAGGCAGGCCAAGCAGAGACUGUCCAGAAGGGAGCAACAAAAAUAAUCUCUAGAUUAUCUCUAGAGGUCUAGAAAAUGGGAAAGACUAACCUGACUAAUUCUUCAUCUCCAGAAGAGACAGCUGGAAGAGAGUAUUGAGAGAUAUAUUAAACAGGGUCUGCUGGAUGAAAAUAUUGGGAAAUAAUGGAUUUCACUUAAAUCAAAAAAUUCACAUGUAAUACAAGAAAAAGUCUGGAAAUUAUAAGGAUGAGAAAUGCAUAGAUGGGAGAAUGUUCCAAAUAGAUAUCCUAGGAGAUCUUCAGGAGCAAGUCAGAGAAUGAUCUGUCAGAAAUGGCAAUUGAUCCUGCCUUGGGUAGGGGGAAGGACCAGAUGACUUUUUAUGUCCUUUCCACCAUGAUGUUUGUGUGUUCUGUGCUCUUUGAUGGAAAACCAUGGUUUGGGUUUGCAUGCUUUUCUAGACACUUACGUUGACCAGAAAGCAGAUAUGUAAAGGGAAUCCAAACGUGUAGGUGGGAAAAAAAAAAAAAAAAAAGAAAAGAAAAAAAUAAUUAGAGAAAGAAAGGUAGAGGAAGUCUGGACAGCUUCAAACAAACCAAACAGACUGUCUGAACCCUUAGCAGGGCAGACUCCAGGCAGUUGCUCACUGGUUAUGCUAAAGACCCAGGCGUAUGCCUGAGAGUCGGAUGGAAAUUGGACAAUUGUUAUGCAGCUGAGAUUGAUGUAUCUGCUCUUUUGGCUUUGCCUGCACUACAUUUACCUGUGUUAAAUAAACAAAGAAAGUGCUCUAAGUAUUGCUCUAAGAGUGAAUAAUAAGUGGAACAUUUCUUCUUUUGUUAGUAGCUUGUGUCCUUGCUUAUUAAGUCUCAGGCUGAGCAGCCAAAGGGAGUGUUUGAGACAUAAAUGCCGCAGGGGACUCCCACUGCUGAAAGCAAAGGGCAAGCAGCUUGAAAUGUGCUACUUCUAUUCCUGGAAGACCAUGAUGAUCAGAAAUACAAGCUCUGUGUCCUUUAUUCCCUGCCUUUUCUUCUCUUCUUCCUGCUCCUUCUCCAUCCCUUUGAAUAGCAUUCAGGAAGUUCAAAACUCAUUUGUAAUGGCAAACCAGUUACUAACAGAGAAAUUGUUCUUUUGUCUUUUGCUAACUAAAUUAGCAGAGAUCAGUUUUGGACAAACUCCUCAUUUUAGUCAGUGGCAAUAUAAAUGCUAAGAUAUACCCUGCUUUUCUCUCUCCCUGGGUCUUUAUAUUCCCUUUUCAAUUCACCAAGGCUUCUAUUCCUUGCAAAAAUCUACAAUAUGAAACUAUAAGAGAAAUACCAAGCCUAUCAAGAUUCACUUGCCUUUUUAAAACCAAAUCCAUCUCUCAUAAAAAGAAAUAUCCAAUAUUAUCCAAUAUCCAAGACUUUGAAAAGCAACAACUUCUCACACCAGACCUUCAUGUGUCUUUUAAGUCAUUUACUCAUUAAAUCUUCCUCUGCCUUAUCUAAAACUUCAGACAAAACCAAGCUCUGUUAGUCCUAGCAAGAAACAGGAGCUCCUUUUCUAAAGAAUCAGGAAACACAGGGCAAAAACUCUACCCCCUUUUUACAAGUCUGUUAAGGGGUUUAGCCCUAGCACAGCUGCUGAUCACAACUGCUUGCUGUCCCCCAAAGAGCCAGACACACUCUUUCAAUCUCCCCCUGAGACUCCCCAGAAACUCACCAGAGUCAGUGCAGAUAUUGUGAAGUGCUCCCUUUGCAAAGUAAUUACAUGACAGAGAGCUGCUCUAAUGUGGAAUGAACAAUGCCGUGCUUUACUUUACAACAACUCACCCCUGCAAUUAUUGCCAGAUGUUUGCAAACGUUCUGUAAAUCUCCCCUCUAACAUUAACUGAUCCUCCCAAAUUUAUUUUCAUCUUUCAAAGACUGAGGGUGCUGGUUAGCUACAGCUGGCAAAAAAAAAAAAAAAAAA